rnacentral:rRNA from 1 species
ACGGGGAGGAGCCCAGAGCCUGAAUCAGUGUGUGUGUUAGUGGAAGCGUCUGGAAAGGCGCGCGAUACAGGGUGACAGCCCCGUACACAAAAAUGCACAUAUUGUGAGCUCGAUGAGUAGGGCGGGACACGUGGUAUCCUGUCUGAAUAUGGGGGGACCAUCCUCCAAGGCUAAAUACUCCUGACUGACCGAUAGUGAACCAGUACCGUGAGGGAAAGGCGAAAAGAACCCCGGCGAGGGGAGUGAAAAAGAACCUGAAACCGUGUACGUACAAGCAGUGGGAGCCUCUUUAUGGGGUGACUGCGUACCUUUUGUAUAAUGGGUCAGCGACUUAUAUUCUGUAGCAAGGUUAACCGAAUAGGGGAGCCGAAGGGAAACCGAGUCUUAACUGGGCGUUAAGUUGCAGGGUAUAGACCCGAAACCCGGUGAUCUAGCCAUGGGCAGGUUGAAGGUUGGGUAACACUAACUGGAGGACCGAACCGACUAAUGUUGAAAAAUUAGCGGAUGACUUGUGGCUGGGGGUGAAAGGCCAAUCAAACCGGGAGAUAGCUGGUUCUCCCCGAAAGCUAUUUAGGUAGCGCCUCGUGAAUUCAUCUCCGGGGGUAGAGCACUGUUUCGGCAAGGGGGUCAUCCCGACUUACCAACCCGAUGCAAACUG